rnacentral:tRNA from 2 species
GGGGGUAUAGCUCAGUUGGCUAGAGCACCUGCUUUGCAAGCAGGGGGUCGUCGGUUCGACUCCGUCUACCUCCACCA